rnacentral:rRNA from 1 species
AGUGGCGCACGGGUGAGUAACGCGUGGGGACCUACCUCUUAGUGGGGGAUAACGGUUGGAAACGACCGCUAAUACCGCAUACGCCCUUCGGGGGAAAGAUUUAUCGCUAAGAGAUGGACCCGCGUUGGAUUAGAUAGUUGGUGAGGUAACGGCUCACCAAGUCGGCGAUCCAUAGCUGGUUUGAGAGGAUGAUCAGCCACACUGGGACUGAGACACGGCCCAGACUCCUACGGGAGGCAGCAGUGGGGAAUAUUGGACAAUGGGGGCAACCCUGAUCCAGCCAUGCCGCGUGAGUGAAGAAGGCCUUCGGGUUGUAAAGCUCUUUCAGAUGCGAAGAUGAUGACGGUAACAUCAGAAGAAGCCCCGGCUAAUUUCGUGCCAGCAGCCGCGGUAAUACGAAAGGGGCUAGCGUUGUUCGGAUUUACUGGGCGUAAAGGGCACGCAGGCGGUCUUGCCAGUCAGGGGUGAAAGCCCGGGGCUCAACCCCGGAACUGCCUCUGAUACUGCAAGACUAGAGACUAGGAGAGGGGGGUGGAAUUCCCAGUGUAGAGGUGAAAUUCGUAAAUAUUGGGAGGAACACCAGAGGCGAAGGCGGCCCCCUGGACUAAAUCUGAACCUCAGGGGCGAAAGCGUGGGGGAGCAAACAGGAUUUAAAUACCCUGGUAGUCCCCCCCCGUAAACAAAUGAGUGGCUAGUUUGCCGGGGAUUUCCAUUUCCGGGAC